UAGGGAAUCUUCGGCAAUGGGGCAACCCUGACCGAGCAACGCCCCGUGAGUGAAGAAGGGUUUCCGAUCGUAAAGCCCUGUUGUAAGAGAAGAAAGUGUGUGAGAGUGGAAAGUUCACACAGUGACGGUAAAUUACCAGAAAGGGACGGGUAACUACGUACCAGCAGCCGCGGUAAUACGUAGGUCCCGAGCGUUGUCCGGAUUUAUUGGGCGUAAAGCGAGCGCAGGCGGUUUAAUAAGUCUGAAGUUAAAGGCAGUGGCUUAACCAUUGUUCGCUUUGGAAACUGUUAAACUUGAGUGCAGAAGGGGAGAGUGGAAUUCCAUGUGUAGCGGUGAAAUGCGUAGAUAUAUGGAGGAACACCGGUGGCGAAAGCGGCUCUCUGGUCUGUAACUGACGCUGAGGCUCGAAAGCGUGGGGAGCAAACAGG
rnacentral:rRNA from 1 species